rnacentral:lncRNA from 1 species
ACCAAAGGCACGGUGUCUCCCCUCGCCCUUCAGUGGGUCGUUUGAAAGGUUUAUUCACUUGAGAAAGGGAGACGGAAAGAGAGAGCACAAGCAGAGGGAGAAGGAGAAGAGACUCCCCACUCAGCUGGGAGUCCAAGCAUGGGGCUCAACAUGGGGCUCCACACGGAGCUUGACAUGGGGCUCCAUUUCUGGACCUGGAGAUCAUGACCUGAGCUGAAGGCAGACACUUCGCCCUCUGAGCCACCCAAGUACCCCUUGUUUAACAUUUUUCUAAGGGAAUCCUCAAG